rnacentral:rRNA from 1 species
AGAUUGAACGCUGGCGGCAUGCCUUACACAUGCAAGUCGAACGGCAGCACGGGGGCAACCCUGGUGGCGAGUGGCGAACGGGUGAGUAAUGCAUCGGAACGUGCCCAGUAGUGGGGGAUAACUAGUCGAAAGAUUAGCUAAUACCGCAUACGACCUACGGGUGAAAGCGGGGGAUUCGCAAGAACCUCGCGCUAUCGGAGCGGCCGAUGUCUGAUUAGCUAGUUGGCGGGGUAAAAGCCCACCAAGGCUUCGAUCAGUAGCUGGUCUGAGAGGACGACCAGCCACACUGGGACUGAGACACGGCCCAGACUCCUACGGGAGGCAGCAGUGGGGAAUUUUGGACAAUGGGCGCAAGCCUGAUCCAGCCAUGCCGCGUGCGGGAAGAAGGCCUCGGUUGUAAACGCUUUGGCAGGACGAAACGGACGCGAGCAAAUAUCUCGCGUUAAUGACGGUACCUGCAGAAUAAGACACCGGCUAACACGUGCCAGCAGCCGA